rnacentral:rRNA from 1 species
GACAGAGGGUGCGAGCGUUAAUCGGAAUUAUUGGGCGUAAAGCGCACGUAGGUGGGCUAGUAAGUUGGAUGUGAAAUCCCUGGGCUUAACCUAGGAACUGCAUUCAAAACUGCUGACCUAGAGUACAGUAGAGGGAAGUGGAAUUUCCGGUGUAGCGGUGAAAUGCGUAGAUAUCGGAAGGAACACCAGUGGCGAAGGCGACUUCCUGGACUGAUACUGACACUGAGGUGCGAAAGCGUGGGUAGCAAACAGG